CUCUACAUCCCUGCUAUCAGUCAGUUCCAUCUUUAAAGUAACAUACAAGAAAAAAAUACAGAGAACAUCCCAUCCUGAAAUUCUAACAGCACCGACCUUUUUUUUUUUUUUUCAAUGUCACAAACUCAAUUUAAGUAAAAAAACAAGUAAUCUACAGUCUCCCUCUCUCAGCCAAAAAAUGAAAAAGAAUUUUUUUCAAAAAAUAAUUGUUAAAAAAAAAAAAUAAAAGGACUGAUUGCUACCAAUGCUAUCCUUCCUCAAGUAUAGAAUUAAGUGGAGCAGCAACCUUUCUUCGUAUUCCCUGUAUCAGCAACAUUAAUAGUGGUUCCUUGACCAGGAAGAGUAGAAUUGCCGGCUGCUUCCUGUGCUGCCAAUGCCUUUUUGCUAAUUAUGUGGUAGAUCUCCGUCAAUAUGGUUUGGAAUGCCUUCUCAAUAUUGGUUGCUUCCAAUGCCGAUGUCUCCAGAAAUGAGAGACCUUCCUUCUCUGCCAAGCUCUGACCAUCCUCCUCUGCAACAGCUCUUAGAUGAUUCAA
rnacentral:misc_RNA from 1 species